UACAAUUUUCUUAGUGAUGAUAUAUUAGUAGGAAUCUCAUUGAAUUUCGUCAUGCGUUAUUGUGAAAACAAUUUCAAAUAACUGAUUUUGCA